rnacentral:piRNA from 1 species
GAGAGACAGAGACUCACUACUGCCUU